rnacentral:lncRNA from 1 species
AGCUGUAUGCCUUCUUUCAUCACCAUGAGCAGCCUGAGCCUGUCGAUGACAUCAAGCAAAGGUCGGAUUUUGUCAUUGUAUGAUGAAAUAAUUGGAGCUUGAGCUGCUGCUGCUCCCACCACAUUAGGUUGUUCCAUAGGAGGAGUUGCUGGUUGAGAAUCUUCAUAAUCAAUGAUAACAUCAAUGCUCCCUGAAUCAGAUUCAUCAUCGCUACCCAUUUUUUAGAAGUCGAGACAGGAGUGGGAAUUGGCCAAACUUGAUGUUUUUUAUGGUUUUUUUGUUGGAAGUUGGAAAGCAAUAAACUUAAACUAAAGUGAAGAAAAAUUCAAUGAAGCAUAUUUGGCUUUAUAAUGAAAAUUAAAAUAGGGUAAAGCACCAAAAAUAGGCACAAUAAAGCGAUAGCAUCCUAUACCAAACCCCAAGAAACAAUCAAAGGAAGCUACAAUGGGAAUGGAAAACUUUAGGUUAUACUUUGAAUUGUAGAAAAUACAUCUUAUAUUCCGUAUUGGAUUGUAGAAAAUAAUGAUACAAGGACAGAAGAGAGGAAACAGAUCAAAAUCAAAUCGUGACCAACCAAAAGAUGAGUGUGUCGAUGACAGAAAGUUCGAAACAUAAACAGCCCCACUAAUUCCUACAGGAACUACACAGCAGAACUAUAUGAAACAAUGUAUUCACAUUGAAGUUUCGGAUAGAUGUCACGUACAAGCCAUGUUGCCAUUAACUCAUAUGCUCUUUGUGUCAAAUGAACUCCAUCCCAACUAAGCCGUUCAUUAGGGUUUUCGCAUACCGGUACUUUUGGAUCUCCGCACCAACUUGAUAAGCCAUAAUUGUAGUCUCCCCCAAUUCCGCAGCAAGCCUUUUGCAAUGAUAUUGGAUCAAAACCUAAUGAGAUUUUUCGAAAACUCAGAACAUGACUAGAACCAUUCACAGUACGGUCUCAUAAACUUAUGGAUGCAAAUAAAUCAGACUUACCAAGCAGAUCAGCUUUGCUCAAAAGCCACAGGAAUGCAUUGUAGUAGUCACCGUAGACAACGGUUUCAUCUGGAUGUUCUUCUUUUAGCUCAGCAAUAGCUUGUUGAAGAAGAUAAUUAUGAUAGAUUGAAAAAUUAUUCAACUCCUUUAAACAAUGAAGUUCAUCAUAAGCAGUAGAAUCAUUUGUUUGGUAUUUGGUGAGAUAUACAGGAAAGCAGCCUAUGGGGAAGUUUCCAGGAACAACUAACCGAGUAGCACCAUAUCCGAUAACUCUCUACACAGUGGAACUUAUGAGAAACAGGGUUUCAAUGAUUAGAAGUGAUAUAAUCAGAUGUCUCUUGAAAGGAAACUUACUUUGGUAGCUUGUUUUAUCGUUUCUACUACCUCGGGCACCAUGGUCUUAACCUCUUCUAUGGUUUUUCCUUGCCAAAAGGCGUAGUUAUAGUCAUUUCCUCCGAUCUCCCCAACCAUGAAAAGAGCUUUUCCAUUUUUCUUGAAGCAAUCUACCAAAUAUAACACCUCAAGUGGUUAUUUGUGUUAAUCCAUUCUGAACAUCGUUAUUAUACCUGAUUACCUAACCAGGAGGCCUCAUUAGACCAACCGCUCCAUCAUGGAGGUCUCGCCUGCAUGAUAGCUCAACCAACUAAAGACACUCAUGUGCCUUGUCACACGAGCCACCACAAGGUCAUAUCAAGAUCCACUCAGGACCUGCUCCUGUCACAUCUAGUACAGGCUCUAUCACUCGACCAUUAAGUCUACAAGAAUAAUCUAUCUUCAACCUCUGCUAGCAGCUCUUGACACUCACGUGUGAGCCACCUUCAACCUCUUCCACCACAUCCUAUAUCAACAAACAUAUAUAUAUAUAUAUAUAGGAAAGAUGCUAACCUUUGUUACCACGACAAGUUGUAUUGAAAUAGCUAAACAUCUAGUCAAGUUGUCUACUUAAAGAUAUGCUGGUAGGCACAAAGGAAACAUUCCACUUGGCUAAAUCUUCUGCAGACAUGGCAGUAGCUCCGGCAAACGCGAAAUUAAGCCCAUAAUCAAAUAAUCCAUCUUUGUUUAAGUAAGGAUCAAGAAAAGGAAUUCCAGCAGAUAGUGCUGUUCAAAUGUUCAAAACACGAAACAGUAAACACACUGGUUAAAAAAAAGUUAAUUAAACCAACAAAAAUCAAUACAAAUAUAAUCAUUAAUCAUCUUCCUAAACCUUUCUAGUAUGGGGUUGACACUUUUUUAGAGAAAAAAGAGAUUGAUUCUUCUCCAAGCAAUGCACCCAACGUGUAUGGUCUCAGUGAAGCUUUUGAUUAGAAUUUAGUAUUUUACCUAUAUAAUCAAUCAUCAACAAACCAUCGGAGCAUCUCCCAGUUGCUUUCUUGAAGGUUUCUCCAUAUGGUAACCUUGCAAAUUUUGAUAAAGGGUUGUCUUGCACAUCAUUACCCGUAUCUGCUAUGGAAUCCCCGAGCUGAUAUAUGGCAUCGAAAUUGCAGCUGCUAAGGAUAUGUUGAUUGUUGCAUGUAACGAAGUUGAAGAAAGAGAUGAUAAUUAGUAUAGAGAACACAAAACCUGGUGGUGAAGAUUUACUAGAAGCCAUAUAUGCAGAAAUGGUAUUACUGGGUAUUUAGCAUCUAAAUCUUAGCUCCCCCUAAAAAGGUAUAUAGUUGUGCUCCUACAGGUAGCUUUGAAUCAGGGACGGCACCAAAGGGGCAGUCAAAGGCCUUAGCACCCCCCAAACGGAAAAUUAUUAUUUUAGUCCCUUGAAAUUUUUUAAAUUAUAAGUUAGGUAAAAAUACACUUUGACCCCACAAGAUGAUUUUUUUUUAAUUUAAUUCUUUUAAGAUUAUAAAUAACAAACAUAUAGAAAGAUAAAAUUAUAUUUUAGCCUUUUUAAAAUUAUAUAAUUUAAUUUUAGCCUCAAAAAUAAAGUCUUGACUUGGUCCUUUCGUAUACCUACUCUUAGACAAAAAAAAAAUCAUUUUAUUUAAGCUUUUUGUUUAUUAAUAAUGAGUUUUUUUUUUCUCAAUGAUUCAUUAAAUACAAUUAAAAAAUAUUUGGAAGAGAAAUCUAGCAGUAGACUAGAUAGUUAAGAUGAUAUCUAACAGAGAGGUCGAUGUACGAGUGUUUGUUGAAGCUCCUAUGUAACUUUUAACAAUUUUACAAACUGAUAGAGGUAAUGGUUUCUUUGAUCAUUUAUUUUUAAUACGAGUAAAGAAACCUAAUUAUUUAAUUAUGGGUAAACUACACAAGGAGUCACCCAACUAUGAAGAGUUAAAAAAAAGACAAUGGUGGUAACUUUUAAAAUUAGCAUAAUAGCAAUUUAACCCUUAACAUUUAUAUAUUGUAUCAAUUUAGUCUUGAUUCUAUUUUUUUUUUAACUCUCAACAUUUACACAUUGUAUAAUUUAGUCUUUCUUUUUGUAAUUUUGUUUUUCUUUGUGACAUUGAGGGUUAAUUUUAAAAGAAAAAGAAAAGAUAAAAAGUAUUAUCUUGGAUUUCUGGGUGCUCCUAUUUUUUUAUAUAUUUUUAAUCAAAUUGAACUGAUAAAUUUAUUUUUAACUUUUUAGUUAAAAGAGUAAAGAAAAACAAAGUUGUACAAAAAAAAAAAUCAAACUACGCAAUGUAUAAAUGUUGAGAGUUAAUUGUUUGAGGAAACAAGAUUAAAUUGACAUAAUUUAUAAAUAUUAAGGGUUAAAGUUGAUAUUAUGCUAAUUUUUAAAAGUUGCCAUUGAUGAUCAGUGACCAAAAAAGACAAAAGCGAAUAAUUUAGUGAUCAUUUUGUAACUUUUCAUAAUUAAAUGACAAAAAAAUUACGUAAUUUAAUCUUUAAUUAUUUGUUUUGGACAUUGAUUAUUUAAUAACUAAUAACAUUCAAUAAUUGACGUUAAAAAAUUGUUUGUAUGAUGAAGUCAUUGUCAUCACCCAAAAGAUGUACAUAUAAAAGGAGUCACAAUCGGCCUCUACCAAAUUGAUUUUAGAAAGUAGACGCUAACUAUUUGAAAUAUAAUUGUUGUAUCUUAAUUUAUAAGUUAUUAUAUUAUUAUAUAAGCAUAAUUUUCUUUUGGUAGAUAAAGAUUAUUUCUUUCUAAAUAAUCUUUCAAAGUUAUUAAAUAAUCGUUGAAUUUUUUUGUAAUUUGGAGUACAAAAUUAAGUGAAUGUUAACGUGUUUGAGGCGAAUCUCGAUGAACAUGUCAUGCAAAUGCAACGCAUAGCUAAAGGAGUAGAUAAGAGCUUUAGACCUCUUAAAUGUCAGUUGUUCAAUUUAGUUCCUUUCUAGCUUUUAUUUAAAUGGAACAAUUGUAAUUUACACCCUUUUCAAAUGUUUAAAUUUAAUUUGGGUUAUUCUAAUGUAAAAAGUUUUAGCUUUGUCCCCUAUUUUUUUAAUUUUAUCUUGGCUCUUCAUCACAUAAUUCAUGACUUCGCCUGAUACUGUGAGACCCAAUGUUAAUAUUUUAAGUAUUCAAAUCUCGGAUCGUUUAUGAACAAAAUUUUGAAAGAAAGAUGAUGGAAUAUUGACCUUGUAGCUGUAUAAGAGCUAGAAAGUAAUAUUAUAAAAAGAUUGGAGAUUAUAAGUUAAACACUUGGAAUUAUCGAAAAGUUGUUGCAGGAAGUUCGGUAGUUUGAUCGCCUUAGCUAACCUUCAAAGAUUCUUCAUCAAUUUAGACACCGAAAUCCCCACACUGUCAGAUUCGCUUUGAAAGAAGAGUAUGUGAAAUCCAUUAUACUCUAGAGCUCUCAAAGGGGCCAUGCAAAGAGGCUUCGAAAGAAAAUUGCAUGAAGUUCCCACAAUGUGUCAUUGGUUUCAUUAUGAUAUUUUAACCUUUAAUCAUUUUAUUUUAUAUAAAAAAAUUUGAACUGAUAAAAAAUUGAUUUCAAAUUAUUUCUAUUUUUAUUUUUCAAUUUUUAGUGUCAUUAUUAAUUUUUGUGUAAUUCAAUUGUUAAAGUAUGUAGUUUGACACAUAAUUAUUGUUGUUAAUUUAGGAUAGCCAUGAAUGGGAUGCAUUGAGUUUGAAAUAUUUUAAGUAAAUUAUCAAAUUUUAUAAUAUUAGUUAAAAUUAAAAGAAUAUAUAUUUACUCCUUUCUUUUUUUCUCUUUGUAUCUUGAUUUGUGGAUUAGGUAACGAAUAUUGGUGUCCAAUUAUGUUAUGAUAAUAUAUACUUUUUUUUAUACAAUUUCUAGAAGUACUUGUAGCCUCUCUUAAGCCAUAAAUAGAAGGAUGAUAUGCUUCAGCGCACAAAAACUUACGUUUUCCUACAUUAGCAAUUGAGUUAAAACUCGAUCGGCAAAAUUUUAAAGAAAACAAAAUAAAUAAAAACUAAUCCCCCAAUUUACCGUCCACAGUAGUUCUGACAUUAUUAUAUGAUCUUCAAAUCUUUAUAAUCUAUACUAUAUAUAUAGAAUACAGACACUUGCAGCAUGUAAUAAAGCAAACCAUGAUGAUGACCUAAAUUUUAUGUGAAAAUAUUAAACCAAGUAAGCAUCAUAAACAACAAUCCUGUCCAUGACCUUGGCCACACUAUCUUUGGACUCCUUUAACACCUUGAUGCUGUUUUUAAGAUUCUCACGCUUUGCAACAAUGGCAGGAGAUUCCACCAGCAUCUUCUCCAUCCCAUGUCCAUCUGGUCCCAUCAGCUCCUUCACAAUCUCAUCAAUGUCAUUGUUUACAAGAUUAUGAACACAGUAUUGUAAAUGCAAUGCCAUGGAAUCAACCAAUCUAACUUUAAAUAUCUUCCAAUAAGCAACUGUUCUCAUCUUCAGAUCGAAAGCUUGUUGCAGGAUCAAAACGUUGGAGUGUUGUCUGAGAUGUUCGACUUGGAUUUUUCCGAAACCUUGGACCUCCCUGAGACCUUGGAUUUCUCUGAAACCUUGGAGAUCCUCAGGGUAAGGUGGCAACAUCAUGUCUGUUCCAGUUAUUUGGUUUAUGAAAUAGUCUUGUUGGUUCAUGAGCUCAUUCCACUCCCUCAUGUAAUCAGGGUUACAUGUAUAGCCUGUUAGUUUCUCCAUUUCUACAAUCUCUUUCACCCUAUUGAUUGAUUGCUCCCUCAGCUUUUGAACAAGAUUGUGAGCGGCUCCUUUCGCCGAUACCUUGAGCUGAUAAUACAUUUCCGAGUGGCGCGUCAAAACAGACGUCACCACAUCGUCUAUGUAAUCCCAAUACUUUUCGGUGAAUUUGAUAGGGAGAUACGAUAUCCUCUCGACUUUUCUCCGGAAGAUACGAAGGAAUGCUUCACAGGGAAGGAAGUUCGGUAGUUCGAUCCUCUUAGCAUCUUCCAAACCCUUGAUCUCUUCUGUUAAAAAGUCUUUCGACAGAUUACUUUCCUCGCAGUUGUGAAGUUCAUCGGAGAACCGGUUCAGCAUUUCCACAAACCGAGCAGUCCCGUGCUUCGUGUUGUCCUCGGGGUAUUCAUCAAAUUCCCCUCUCCAAAGAAGUUUCUUGAGGGAUUCUUUAGCUGCUUGAAUGAUCCACAUCAUAGCUUUAGUUGCAUCAGCAAUUGAAGUUAAGACCUUUGGCAUUUUCUCUAGCUCUGAAACAUUUGCAUCCAGCUUUGCACUAAUGUUUUUAACAAUCUCUGGAGAGCACUUUGCAAUUUCAUUAGCUUGAAUUUGAACAAGCUUUUGAGCCAAAACAUGAACACCCACAAUUGAUUUAUCAAUACAUGACAAAUGUGCAUUAGUUUCGAACAAUCUAGCCUCUUCCUUCCUUGCUUCUUCAUAGGAUUCAUCACCAAUCCGAUUCCGAACACAAACAUAUCCAAGUCCUAUAUUCACAUCAUCUGCAGUAACCUUGUCAACAAGCCCUUCAGGGGCCCUAUCUACUUUAGUAACCACAGCAAGAGUUCUCUCACCAUUCUUGUCCACUUGUUGCGACAUCCGAAUGGAUUCACAAGUUGAAAAAUCGACCGUGGCCGACAGAACAUUAAGGAUAAUGCUUUCCUUUGGUGUUAUGUACUGCAUGAUGAUGUCCCUGAUCUGCUCAUAUAUGUUGUUAGGCUGACCAUGGACAGGAACUCUGGUAAUUCCAGGAAGAUCAACCAUGGUAAGAUCAGGAACCCCAUCUUUUCUCACCACUAAAGUUAAAGGGGUGUCAGAUAUGCUCUUACCCGGGCCCGCAAUCUCAUCAGUUGCGAUGUUUAUGGCUGUUGCAAUCUGGGGUUCCUCCACUGGGACCAUUUUGCCAUUGUACUCCAAGUAAAGCUCUGGCCUUGGACUUGCAUGGUUCUGCAACCUGAUUAUGAGAGGUACCCUGGUGCAAAUUCCCUGGCUACGAGGAAGGUUAACGCCAGCCAAGGAUUCAAGAACACUAGACUUGCCUGAUGACUGGUCUCCGACCACAACAAUUGUGGGGAGCUGUAUGCCUUCUUUCAUCACCAUGAGCAGCCUGAGCCUGUCGAUGACAUCAAGCAAAGGUCGGAUUUUGUCGUUGAAUGAUGAAAUAAUUGGGGCUUGAGCUGCUGCUGCUGUCACCACCCUAGGUUGGUCCAUAGGAGGAGUUGCUGGUUGAGAAUCUUCAUAAUCAUUGAUGAAACCCAUGCUCCCUGAAUCAGCUUCAUCAU